rnacentral:rRNA from 1 species
UACAGAUGUCCCAAGCGUUGUUCGGAUUCAUUGGGCGUAAAGGGUGCGUAGGCGGCGCGGUAAGUCGGGUGUGAAAUCUCGGGGCUUAACUCCGAAACUGCAUUCGAUACUGCCGUGCUUGAGGACUGGAGAGGAGACUGGAAUUUACGGUGUAGCAGUGAAAUGCGUAGAUAUCGUAAGGAAGACCAGUGGCGAAGGCGGGUCUCUGGACAGUUCCUGACACUGAGGCACGAAGGCCAGGGGAGCAAACGGG